UUUUCAUUCUAUGCCUCCCUCGCGAUCCGCCGAACCCUCAUUUAUAGGGCAAAAAAAAAUCAAAUCCGUAAAACUCACUUCCCUCCUCUGAAUAAAAUCCCCACUUUUGGUCUUACCUUUCUUGCUAUGCUAUGCCGCCUCAAUCAUCAGGAACUCUUAUUCUUCCUCUCGCUUCUAAAUCCUUGCUGAUAUAUAUUUUAUUCAGGUUUACUUAUUGGGAAGGGAGAAUUAUUUGGAUUGAGUAGAUUCGGAAAAGAGUGACCUCUGAGCCGGUAAAUUAUAUUAAUAAUGGAGUCAUAAAAGUUCUUGUGGCCCAAAUGGAGGACAAAUAGAGUCAAGGUGGAUCCAUGGUUUGAAAGGACAAUCAUAUGGUGAAAUGAUGACCACCAUCUAUUUGCUUGAGUAUAGUUUGUCCUACCCCCAAAGGAGAGGUGUACAUCCUCUAAGGAAUAUUCUCAUGCCUUGCGAUUCAGUUGUUGACCUGUGAUAAAUUACAGUUUGUUGUUUGAAAGUUUAUCAAUAUCAGUAAAUAAUCUUGCUCACUGUUGGUUGCUUUAGUAAAUUGAUUUUAACCAAGUAUUAUUCCUUGGUGUUUCAUUA